GCUAGUCUCCUCUGGAAUCCUCGAAGACAGAACUCAGAGUAGUGAGCCUUUGUUUCAGGUACAGCAGGCAUGAGUUGAGUCUCUGGUCGAAAGCUCUGGUGUCUUACAGUUAAGGGACCCAACAUGUGACAGUCUCCUGGGUGAAGUCGAAGGCAAUUCAUCUCCUUGUACCUUUGAGUGAGAAUAAUCAGAAGGUGCCGUGUGUCAAAUCGAUCAGUGUAUGGUCCUCCUUGUCUUCUGCUGGCUAUAUGAUGACUUCACACAAGGAUCACAAACUACCUAAGCUUCAUCUUUCUGAUUUGUAAGACGGGGAAAAUAAAAAAUUUCCCAAAGGC